rnacentral:piRNA from 1 species
UAACUAAUACCUAUUAGAAUACAGUCUUU